UGUCUCUAGGAAUAAAUGAAGAAUCCGUCGAGGUUAACAAGCCAGCGAUUAGAUGAGAAUGUAAAGACGAAGUGGAGUGAAGACGAGGCGAGAUAAUGAAGACGAAGCGAGUUCGAAUGUUGUACUUGCGUCCUUUCUUUGUCCUUUCUCCGUCAGCGGAAAUUGCGCAUAUCCUUUCAUUCUUUCUAUUUCUGUAUUUAUAGAACAUUCUUUCUAGGGCUUUUCCUCUGUUGCUUUACACUUUUACCCUCUUUAUUCUCUUUCACCGUACACAUGUCAUUCUCUUCCUCAUUCCUUCUGUUCGUUGAAUCUAGCUUUGACUCACUCUGGGUUUCUCAUUCUGUUAGGAAAUGGGCUCGGUUUAGCCCUUUACAAUCUGGGCCCGAACCGACCCCCAACAAGUUGGAAUUUAUAUGUGGCUUCAACGUCAAU